GACGGAGGAUGCAAGUGUUAUCCGGAAUCACUGGGCGUAAAGCGUCUGUAGGUGGUUUAAUAAGUCAACUGUUAAAUCUUGAGGCUCAACCUCAAAAUCGCAGUCGAAACUAUUAGGCUAGAGUAUAGUAGGGGUAAAGGGAAUUUCCAGUGGAGCGGUGAAAUGCGCAGAUAUCAGGAGGAACACCGGUGGCGAAGGCGGGUCUCUGGGCAGUAACUGACGCUGAGGAGCGAAAGCGUGGGGAGCGAACAGG
rnacentral:rRNA from 1 species